UGACCAAGCUUUUAACACAUGGGCCUUUGC
rnacentral:piRNA from 2 species